CACUAGCCAACGCGUUGGAGAGUCGCGAGGGAUUGCCGUCGUCCGGCGCUCCCGAGAAAACAUACACAGAGAUAUAUAAACGCGCGCGGAUGGAGAGCAGAACGGUAGAAAUGUACGUGUCGCACGAGCGGGGGCGACGAGAGGGGGAUGACAGAGAGGUCUACAAACUCGACGAGAUGAACGCGGCGUAUUGAGAGAGGCGGGAUUUUGCGCAAACUUUUCAACGAAUAAGGCACCGAGACGGUGACCAUUCGCCACGCCUACGCCACCCUUACGAUGUAUUCCAGAGGAUGUUUCAUCUGUGUGUACAUAAUAUAUGUAUACAGCACGGAGGAAAAUAAGCGUGGCUCGAUUCGGAUGGCUGAAAAACUCAUGGAACAUUCCGCAGGCUUCUUAUCUCGCGGAGUCGUUCCGUCGUGAAUUCACAGAGACUUACAGCUUUCCAAGUAAAUCAAAAAAUACCAUAAAAACAUGAUUGAAGAAUUUGACAAUUCUGAAAAAACAAAAGGACCGACAAGCCGAACGAAAUUGGUACACAUGUGAAAAAAAGGCUAAUCGAACGCGAUUGAUUGAUAUUUGACUAUUUCGAAAAUCGCUUGAAAAAAAGUGAAAUUCAACGUGAGCCUGGUCCACAAAUACGGAGAUAAAUGAUCGAUCAUGGUAGAACGCCAUGUAGGUGCUCUAUCAAGCUGCUUGUGAUUGUCAGAGGGGCUUCGAUCGAGGCCACCCGGUGGUACAAUGUUGGCGGAAUGCCACGUGCCACGCCAAGUUGAGCAGCUAGGUGAGGCUCGCCGCGAAGCUUUGUGCUUCUAUUGAUAGUUCUUAAGAGUAAACGUGGCACUACCGAUUGAACAACACUAUAUUUGGCCAUGUGGCAAUCGUCGUGCACGCAGAGAGGAAUCGUUGGAUCAACUACGAAUCUCUUUACGAAGUGCCAAUGCGCCUCUAUGUUUGUCAAUGAAUGGUGUCCGAGGGAGCAACGAUGGCGGUGCAGCUCAAAGAUCCUUCACUGGAAGGUUAACAUCUUAUUUCAUUCGCAGAAACUGUUACUGCGAACUACAAGAAAAAAACUGGACAGUGCAGAUUUGUAGAUAUUUAUUAACCAAAAUUCAUGGUAAACUGGCAGAAAAAAUUAUGAAAUAUUUGGAUCUGUAUAAUUGUCAUUUUUGUAUUUUCUGGGCAAACUAUUCUAAUCUCAGGCAAACUUUCUUAUGACAGAGAGAAUUAAAUUAAAUAAUCAGAAUUGUGUAACGGAGAGUAUUUGAACAAAAACGUGUAUAAAAAUUGAUGCAUCCUCCAAACAAUCGAGUAUUUAUUCAGCAGAUGAUUACGAAAACUUUUAAUUUGAAAAAAUGUUGUAUUUCUUUUUUAAACGCUUAUCAAUAAUUUUUUUCAAUAUUCCUCCAUUCCAAUAUAUCCGGAAAUCUCUUAAAAACUGAUAAAAAAUAGUCCAUUUUGUCAAAACAUGUUCACCAUCAAUAAAUGUGCAAUCGAGUUUCAAUUCGUUGUAUUUACGAAAUCGUCAGAAAACGUUGCGUCGCAAUAUCCGUAAGGAUUGAAAAAAGGGCACACAUUAAUGUACAAUAUGAGAAUUUUUCUUUAUAAGAGCAAGCGAAAAUUCCGCGAAGAAAAACAUUUCCAAAGAAGGAAAAUGCACAUCGUACAUCCAACACGAUCUGUUUGAAGGGGAUUUUUCAAUGAAGACAACUCGAAUCUCCGAUACCAUGGAAUACAUUUACCCGGCGUCAGACUCACAAAAAACGAUCAAGAGUUAAUGCAAAAUACGAAAGCAAUG
rnacentral:lncRNA from 1 species